UACAGAGGUCCCAAGCGUUGUUCGGAUUCACUGGGCGUAAAGGGUGCGUAGGCGGCGCGGUAAGUCGGGUGUGAAAUCUUGGAGCUUAACUCUGAAACUGCACUCGAUACUGCUUUGCUCGAGGACUGGAGAGGAGAUUGGAAUUCACGGUGUAGCAGUGAAAUGCGUAGAUAUCGUGAGGAAGACCAGUGGCGAAGGCGGAUCUCUGGACAGUUCCUGACGCUGAGGCGCGAAGGCCAGGGGAGCAAACGGG
rnacentral:rRNA from 1 species